rnacentral:rRNA from 1 species
GAUCAUGGCUCAGGAUGAACGCUAGCUACAGGCUUAACACAUGCAAGUCGAGGGGCAGCAUGGUCUUAGCUUGCUAAGGCCGAUGGCGACCGGCGCACGGGUGAGUAACGCGUAUCCAACCUGCCCUUGUCCAUCGGAUAACCCGUCGAAAGGCGGCCUAACACGAUAUGCAGUUCUCAGCAGGCAUCUAACGAGAACGAAAUGUAAAGGAGAAGGAUGGGGAUGCGU